rnacentral:rRNA from 1 species
UACGUAGGCAGCAAGCGUUGUUCGGAAUUACUGGGCGUAAAGAGUGUGUAGGCGGUGCUCCAAGUCUGGUGUGAAAUCUCCCGGCUCAACUGGGAGGGUGCGCCGAAUACUGAGAGGCUAGAGUGUGGGAGAGGAAAGUGGAAUUCCUGGUGUAGCGGUGAAAUGCGUAGAUAUCAGGAGGAACACCGGUGGUGUAAACGGCUUUCUGGACCAUAACUGACGCUGAUGCACGAAAGCGUGGGUAGCAAACAGG